ncrna:Erythrobacter litoralis HTCC2594 terC RNA
GACACGGACCGGGCCCCUCUGGCGGGCGCAUGAAGCGCUCGUGAUGUCGGACGUAUCGC